GUGGGGAAUCUUGCGCAAUGGGCGAAAGCCUGACGCAGCCAUGCCGCGUGAAUGAUGAAGGUCUUAGGAUUGUAAAAUUCUUUCACCGGGGACGAUAAUGACGGUACCCGGAGAAGAAGCCCCGGCUAACUUCGUGCCAGCAGCCGCGGUAAUACGAAGGGGGCUAGCGUUGCUCGGAAUUACUGGGCGUAAAGGGCGCGUAGGCGGACAGUUUAGUCAGAGGUGAAAGCCCAGGGCUCAACCUUGGAAGUGCCUUUGAUACUGGCUGUCUUGAGUUUGGGAGAGGUGAGUGGAACUCCGAGUGUAGAGGUGAAAUUCGUAGAUAUUCGGAAGAACACCAGUGGCGAAGGCGACUCACUGGCCCAAUACUGACGCUGAGGCGCGAAAGCGUGGGGAGCAAACAGGAUUAGAAACCCGUGUAGUCC
rnacentral:rRNA from 1 species